UACAGAGGUGUCAAACGUUGUCCGGAAUUACUGGGCGUAAAGGGCGCGUAGGCGGCCUUAUAAGUCAUGUGUGAAAGCUCUGGGCUCAACCCAGGAAUUGCAUGUGAUACUGUAAGGCUCGAGUUCGGUAGAGGAGGGCGGAAUUCCAGGUGUAGCGGUGAAAUGCGUAGAUAUCUGGAGGAACACCCGUGGCGAAGGCGGCUCUCUGGUCCGAAACUGACGCUGAGGUGCGAAAGCGUGGGGGAGCAAACAGG
rnacentral:rRNA from 1 species